UGUGGUGCAUGGACAGAUGCAUGAUUUUGUGUGACUUUCUUCACUUUCUCAUGCACCAAAAAUGGAGAGAUAGAGAAGUGCACUGUUGUUCGAGAUAAUUAGGAAAAGUAUGCAAGCCGUCUUCAUUAGUGGUUCUUAAUACAGCAAUGAAAACAGAAUUUCAGCUUAGCCCUAACUCUUCAGCUGACAGAGCAGGGCCACUACAGCAGGACUGUGGAGAAAAGCUGUAUGACAAGAGAAGUCAUCUUUAUACCUGUAGCCAAAACCCUGUUCAAACCAUUAUCUGCCACUGCCUUGACUUUCUGACAUGAUAGCACAGGAAAAACAAAGAAAAAAUAAAAAAGCAAUGUUUAAUGGAAUCAGAAAUUACUACGAAAAAGCUGUGAUACCAGGAGAAAUGAAGGGGGCUCUGAAGGCUGUCUCAUAAACUACCGAUAUUUGCAGGAGAAGUUCCGUGUGUCUCCCUUUAUGCUUGGAGAAUCUUGAUGUUUCUGAUCCAAUAAAAGAAUCUGGGCUGCCAUAUAACUAUAAAGACAAGUGUUGGUGAAGGAUUAUCUGAAUCAUUCAAGAGAGGGCAGCUCAGCUAUACUGAGAAAAGCACCUACCAAGAGUGAAGAAAGUCAAGAAGCUGGGAAAGA